rnacentral:tRNA from 1 species
GUCUGAGUGGCUCAGUCGGUUGAGCUCCUGACUUCAGCUCAGGUCAUGAUCUCACAAUUUGUGGCUUCGAGCCCCGCAUCAGGCU